UUGGUUCUUAUUUAUUUUAACACCAAUUAUUAUAAGUUUCAAUUAAUUUUUAAAUAAUCAAACUAAAAAUGUAUUUCAGUAAGAACAAAUAUAAUACAAUAUAUAUAAUGAUUUUAUUAAGAUGUACACUAACAAAAGCAAGCGUUUAAACAAAGAAAUGUAAGCAAUAAAAUACAUACUAAGAAUUAAUUUUCAGUUCAAUACAAUUUAUUAUGUAUUAAAAACAUAUAUCAGCCAUUCUCCAAGUUUUAUGUAGUAUUCAUUUUUACUAAAAUAGAUUACAGGUAUAAAAUACAAACAGUUUCUACAAUUUUCAAAAAUAAUUUUAUAAUAUAUUUCAAAUAGUAUUAUUAUAAUAAAACUUUGUGAUACUUACACAAUAAUUAGAUAAUUCUAAAAAAUUCUAAACUAAAAUUUACAAUAAUAGAUCAAAUGUAUACAGUUUUUAAUUUUGUUUCUGUUGUUCUAAUACUUCAUACAUACAAUUUAAUUUAAGUAGCUGAUUUGUUAAAACAAAAUAUAUUUUUAAUUUUAAUUAAAAUAAUAGAAAAAAUAUAUUUUACGUCAUCGUUUAACAAGAACAAAAAAUCUUAAAUAAGUGGAAAAAACUAUGAUAAUAUAUUACUUAAUGUUAUCAUAAUGAACAUUUUCAUUAAUAUUAUUUUUAGAUUUUUUCUUAAAAUUGGUCAAAAUUAAUUUUGUUUAGCUCUGUGUUGAUAUUAUAAGGAGAUCAAUAAAUAAUUAAAAUACAUAAAAUCCAGAAAAACUAAAAACUGAAUGAUAAAAAUUAAUUUAUUAGUAUAUAAUAUAUAUAUUAUAUCAUAUAUCUUAAAAAUAUUUAAAUAUAAAUAUAUUAAUAAAAAAAAAAAAUUCAAGUAUUGAAAUAAUAGAAUAUAGAUUAUUAUUAUUAUUUUCUAAAUAUGAUUUUUACA